rnacentral:rRNA from 1 species
GGGAAAAGCUCAAAUUUGAAAUCUGACAUCCUUUGGUUGUCCGAGUUGUAGUCUGGAGAAGCAUUUUCUGUGCUGGACCAUGUAUAAGUCCCUUGGAACAGGGUGUCAUAGAGGGUGAGAAUCCCGUCUUUGACAUGGACUACCAGUACUUUAUGAUGUGCUCUCAA